CUUCUCGGGAAAUUACAUCAUUAGUUGAAGUUCGUUCAGUCGAAGAAGAAACGCAUCUCGGACUGCAGAUAGAUCACGCUCGGACUUCAGCCAUCGUAAGCUUAUUGGAAUCACGUGAGACGCAAUGAGACAACUCUGCCUUACUUCGAUCAGCUCAACUGAAAUGCAGUAUCUGACUUCCGGUCUUCGCUUCAUCCUUCCAGUACAAGCCGGUCAAUGAAGUAACGUAUCACAAUACCAACUCCAAGCAUGAUCGUUUCAUCACAUUCUGGAGAUUGGUUCCUCGCUGCAUCAGAAAUAAAUUCUGGGACUCCUUGUUCGACCGAACAUUCCUUUGCACUUGGAAGGCUUUCUCUCCUGUGCGGGUCCCAAGGUGAGUUUUUGUCAAC
rnacentral:lncRNA from 1 species